rnacentral:rRNA from 1 species
AUGAACGCUAGCUACAGGCUUAACACAUGCAAGUCGAGGGGCAGCAUGGUCUUAGCUUGCUAAGGCCGAUGGCGACCGGCGCACGGGUGAGUAACACGUAUCCAACCUGCCGUCUACUCUUGGACAGCCUUCUGAAAGGAAGAUUAAUACAAGAUGGCAUCAUGAGUCCGCAUGUUCACAUGAUUAAAGGUAUUCCGGUAGACGAUGGGGAUGCGUUCCAUUAGAUAGUAGGCGGGGUAACGGCCCACCUAGUCUUCGAUGGAUAGGGGUUCUGAGAGGAAGGUCCCCCACAUUGGAACUGAGACACGGUCCAAACUCCUACGGGAGGCAGCAGUGAGGAAUAUUGGUCAAUGGGCGAGAGCCUGAACCAGCCAAGUAGCGUGAAGGAUGACUGCCCUAUGGGUUGUAAACUUCUUUUAUAAAGGAAUAAAGUCGGGUAUGGAUACCCGUUUGCAUGUACUUUAUGAAUAAGGAUCGGCUAACUCCGUGCCAGCAGCCGCGGUAAUACGGAGGAUCCGAGCGUUAUCCGGAUUUAUUGGGUUUAAAGGGAGCGUAGAUGGAUGUUUAAGUCAGUUGUGAAAGUUUGCGGCUCAACCGUAAAAUUGCAGUUGAUACUGGAUAUCUUGAGUGCAGUUGAGGCAGGCGGAAUUCGUGGUGUAGCAGUGAAAUGCUUAGAUAUCACGAAGAACUCCGAUUGCGAAGGCAGCCUGCUAAGCUGCAACUGACAUUGAGGCUCGAAAGUGUGGGUAUCAAACAGGAUUAGAUACCCUGGUAGUCCACACGGUAAACGAUGAAUACUCGCUGUUUGCGAUAUACUGCAAGCGGCCAAGCGAAAGCGUUAAGUAUUCCACCUGGGGAGUACGCCGGCAACGGUGAAACUCAAAGGAAUUGACGGGGGCCCGCACAAGCGGAGGAACAUGUGGUUUAAUUCGAUGAUACGCGAGGAACCUUACCCGGGCUUAAAUUGCAGAUGAAUUACGGUGAAAGCCGUAAGCCGCAAGGCAUCUGUGAAGGUGCUGCAUGGUUGUCGUCAGCUCGUGCCGUGAGGUGUCGGCUUAAGUGCCAUAACGAGCGCAACCCUUGUUGUCAGUUACUAACAGGUUCCGCUGAGGACUCUGACAAGACUGCCAUCGUAAGAUGUGAGGAAGGUGGGGAUGACGUCAAAUCAGCACGGCCCUUACGUCCGGGGCUACACACGUGUUACAAUGGGGGGUACAGAGGGCCGCUACCACGCGAGUGGAUGCCAAUCCCCAAAACCUCUCUCAGUUCGGACUGGAGUCUGCAACCCGACUCCACGAAGCUGGAUUCGCUAGUAAUCGCGCAUCAGCCACGGCGCGGUGAAUACGUUCCCGGGCCUUGUACACACCGCCCGUCAAGCCAUGGGAGCCGGGGGUACCUGAAGUGCGUAACCGCGAGGAGCGCCCUAGGGUAAAACUGGUGACUGGGGCU